rnacentral:rRNA from 1 species
AUUGAACGCUGGCGGCAGGCCUAACACAUGCAAGUCGAACGAGUGGCGGACGGGUGAGUAAUGUCUGGGACACUGCCCGAUGGCGGGGGAUAACUACUGGAAACGGUAGCUAAUACCGCAUACCAUCGGAUGUGCCCAGAUGGGAUUAGCGAGUAGGUGGGGUCACGGCUCACCGAGGCGACGAUCCCUAGCUGGUCUGAGAGGAUGACCGGCAACACUGGAACUGAGACACGGUUCCGACUCCUACGGGAGGCAGAAGUGGGGAAUAUUGCACAAUGGGCGCAAGCCUGAUGCAGCCAUGCCGCGUGUAUGAAGAAGGCCUUCGGGUUUUAAAGUACUUUCAGCGAGGAGGCGUUACUCGCAGAAGAAGCACCGGCUUACUCCGUGCCAGCAGCCGCGGUAAUAC